rnacentral:rRNA from 1 species
AUGGUAGGAUUAAAAAAAGGAAGUGUGGAAAAAAUGACAAGAAGAUAUUGGAACAUUAAUUUGAAAGAGAUGAUAGAAGCAGGAGUUCAUUUUGGUCAUGGUAUUAAGAAAUGGAAUCUUAAAAUGGCCCCUUACAUUUCGGCAAAGCGUAAAGGUACUCAUAUUAUAAAUCUCGCUAGAACGGCUCGUUUUUUAUCAGAAGCUUGUGAUUUAGUUUUUGAUGCAGCAAGUCAGGGAAAAAGUUUCUUAAUUGUUGGUACCAAAAAAAGAGCAACAGAUUUAGUAGCAUGUCUAAUU